rnacentral:rRNA from 1 species
GAUGAACGCUAGCGGCAGGCCUAAUACAUGCAAGUCGGACGGGAUUCAGGAGCUUGCUUCUGAUGAGAGUGGCGCACGGGUGCGUAACACGUAUGUAACCUACCUUUAUCAGGGGGAUAGCCUCUCGAAAGAGAGAUUAAGCCCGCAUAAAAUCACAGCACAGCAUUGUGUAAUGAUCAAAUAUUUAUAGGAUAAAGAUUGGCAUGCGGAACAUUAGCUAGAUGGCGGGGUAACGGCCCACCAUGGCGACGAUGUUUAGGGGAUCUGAGAGGAUGGCCCCCCACACUGGUACUGAGACACGGACCAGACUCCUACGGGAGGCAGCAGUAAGGAAUAUUGGUCAAUGGGCGGAAGCCUGAACCAGCCAUGCCGCGUGCAGGAAGACGGCCCUACGGGUUGUAAACUGCUUUUAUACGGGAAUAAACCCAGAUACGUGUAUCUGGCUGAAUGUACUGUAAGAAUAAGGAUCGGCUAACUCCGUG